rnacentral:rRNA from 1 species
AUUGAACGCUGGCGGCAGGCUUAACACAUGCAAGUCGAGCGGAGAUGAGGUGCUUGCACCUUAUCUUAGCGGCGGACGGGUGAGUAAUGCUUAGGAAUCUGCCUAUUAGUGGGGGACAACAUUCCGAAAGGAAUGCUAAUACCGCAUACGUCCUACGGGAGAAAGCAGGGGAUCUUCGGACCUUGCGCUAAUAGAUGAGCCUAAGUCGGAUUAGCUAGUUGGUGGGGUAAAGGCCUACCAAGGCGACGAUCUGUAGCGGGUCUGAGAGGAUGAUCCGCCACACUGGGACGGAGACACGGCCCAGACUCCUACGGGAGGCAGCAGUGGGGAAUAUUGGACAAUGGGGGGAACCCUGAUCCAGCCAUGCCGCGUGUGUGAAGAAGGCCUUAUGGUUGUAAAGCACUUUAAGCGAGGAGGAGGCUACUGAGACUAAUACUCUUGGAUAGUGGACGUUACUCGCAGAAUAAGCACCGGCUAACUCCGUGCCAGCCGCCGCGGUAACAC